AUUGAACGCUGGCGGAAUGCUUUACACAUGCAAGUCGAACGGCAGCACGGGUGCUUGCACCUGGUGGCGAGUGGCGAACGGGUGAGUAAUACAUCGGAACGUACCCAGUCGUGGGGGAUAACGUAGCGAAAGUUACGCUAAUACCGCAUACGUCCUGAGGGAGAAAGUGGGGGACCGUAAGGCCUCGCGCGAUUGGAGCGGCCGAUGGCGGAUUAGCUAGUUGGGGGGGUAAAGGCCGACCAAGGCGACGAUCCGUAGCGGGUCUGAGAGGACGCGCCGCCACACUAGAACUGAGAAACGGGCCAGACUCCUACGGGAGGCAGCAGUGGGGAAUUUUGGACAAUGGGCGAAAGCCUGAUUCAGCCAUUCCGCGUGAGUGAAGAAGGCCUUCGGGUUGUAAAGCUCUUUCGGCAGGGAAGAAACGGCUUGGGAUAAUACCCCGGGCUAAUGACGGUACCUGAAGAAGAAGCACCGGCUAACUACGUGCCAGCCGCCGCAGUAA
rnacentral:rRNA from 1 species